UUAAAGAUAAGAAGAGAAGGUAGGAUGUAUUAAAGUUAAGAGGAGAAGGUUGAAUGUAUUAAAGAUAAGAAGAGAAGGUAGGAUGUAUUAAAGUUAAGAGGAGAAGGUAGGAUGUAUUAAAGUCAAAAGGAGAAGGUAGAAUGUAUUAAAGUUAAGAGGAGAAGGUAGAAUGUAUUAAAGAUAAGAAAAGAAGGUAGGAUGUUUUAAAGGUGAGAGGAGAAAGUAGGAUAUAUUAAAGAUGAGGGUAGAAGGUUUAGGGUGUAAUAAAGUUAAGAGGAGAAGGUAGGAUGUAUUAAAGUUCAGAGGAGAAGGUACGAUGUAUUAAAGUUAAGAAGAGAAGGUAGGAUAUAUUAAAGUUAAGAGGAGAAGGUAGAAUGUAUUAAAGUUAAGAGGAGAAGGUAGAAUGUUUUAGAGAUAAGAAGAGAAGGUAGGAUGUAUUAAAGUAAAGAGGAGAAGUUAGAAUGUAUUAAAAUUAAGAGGAGAAGGUAGGAUGUAUUAAAGUUAAGUGGAGAAGGUAGCUUGUAUUAAAAUUAAGAGGAGAAGGUAGAAUGUAUUAAAAUUAAGAGGAGAAGUUAGAAUGUAUUAAAGUUAAGAGGAGAAGGUAGUUUAUAUAAAGAAAUCUGUGUUUGAAGGUUGUUAAGCAAUGAACCCCCCGGAACCUACCUAAUCAGACUAAACCAAGACAAGGAAUAUAGAUUGGCAGUCAAGACUGAGACAGGGACAAUUAAUAAUUUUAAGAUAAAUUAUGAAAAUGGAAAGUAUAAUUUUCUCAAUUGGGAGGAAUCAUCUCUGACUGAUUUGAUUACAAACAUACAGAGAAAUCACAUUCAAUACAUGACUCCCUUCGUGAGAAAAGGUAGAUAUUUAAAGAAUAACUUGU